rnacentral:rRNA from 1 species
UCCAGACUCCUACGGGAGGCAGCAGUGGGGGAUAUUGCACAAUGGGGGGAACCCUGAUGCAGCGACGCCGCGUGGGUGAAGGAGCGUUUCGGCGCGUAAAGCCCUUUCGGCAGGGAAGAAGGAGGACGGUACCUGACUAGGAAGCCCCGGCUAACUACGUGCCAGCAGCCGCGGUAAUACGUAGGGGGCAAGCGUUAUCCGGAUUUACUGGGUGUAAAGGGGGCGCAGACGGCAGCGCAAGCCAGGAGGGAAAGCCCGGGGCCCAACCCCGGGACUGCUCUUGGAACUGGGCGGCUGGAGUGCAGGAGGGGCAGGCGGAAUUCCUGGUGUAGCGGUGAAAUGCGUAGAUAUCAGGAGGAACACCGGUGGCGAAGGCGGCCUGCUGGACUGCGACUGACGUUGAGGCCCGAAAGCGUGGGGAGCAAACAGGAUUAGAUACCCGAGUAU